rnacentral:rRNA from 1 species
UUAAGCGACUAAGCGUACACGGUGGAUGCCCUGGCAGUCAGAGGCGAUGAAGGACGUGCUAAUCUGCGAAAAGCGUCGGUAAGGUGAUAUGAACCGUUAUAACCGGCGAUGUCCGAAUGGGGAAACCCAGUGCAAUUCGUUGCACUAUCGUUAACUGAAUACAUAGGUUAACGAGGCGAACCGGGGGAACUGAAACAUCUAAGUACCCCGAGGAAAAGAAAUCAACCGAGAUUCCCCCAGUAGCGGCGAGCGAACGGGGAGCAGCCCAGAGUCUGAAUCAGCUUGUGUGUUAGUGGAACGGUCUGGAAAGUCCGACGGUACAGGGUGAUAGUCCCGUACACCAAAAUGCACAGGUUGUGAACUCGAAGAGUAGGGCGGGACACGUGGUAUCCUGUCUGAAUAUGGGGGGACCAUCCUCCAAGGCUAAAUACUCCUGACUGACCGAUAGUGAACCAGUACCGUGAGGGAAAGGCGAAAAGAACCCCGGCGAGGGGAGUGAAAAAGAACCUGAAACCGUGUACGUACAAGCAGUGGGAGCACCUUCGGGUGUGACUGCGUACCUUUUGUAUAAUGGGUCAGCGACUUAUAUUCUGUAGCAAGGUUAACCGUAUAGGGGAGCCGCAGGGAAACCGAGUCUUAACUGGGCGUUAAGUUGCAGGGUAUAGACCCGAAACCCGGUGAUCUAGCCAUGGGCAGGUUGAAGGUUGGGUAACACUAACUGGAGGACCGAACCGACUAAUGUUGAAAAAUUAGCGGAUGACUUGUGGCUGGGGGUGAAAGGCCAAUCAAACCGGGAGAUAGCUGGUUCUCCCCGAAAGCUAUUUAGGUAGCGCCUCGUGAAUUCAUCUUCGGGGGUAGAGCACUGUUUCGGCUAGGGGGUCAUCCCGACUUACCAACCCGAUGCAAACUACGAAUACCGAAGAAUGUUAUCACGGGAGACACACGGCGGGUGCUAACGUCCGUCGUGAAGAGGGAAACAACCCAGACCGCCAGCUAAGGUCCCAAAGUCAUGGUUAAGUGGGAAACGAUGUGGGAAGGCACAGACAGCCAGGAUGUUGGCUUAGAAGCAGCCAUCAUUUAAAGAAAGCGUAAUAGCUCACUGGUCGAGUCGGCCUGCGCGGAAGAUGUAACGGGGCUAAACCAUGCACCGAAGCUGCGGCAGCGACACUAUGUGUUGUUGGGUAGGGGAGCGUUCUGUAAGCCUGCGAAGGUGUGCUGUGAGGCAUGCUGGAGGUAUCAGAAGUGCGAAUGCUGACAUAAGUAACGAUAAAGCGGGUGAAAAGCCCGCUCGCCGGAAGACCAAGGGUUCCUGUCCAACGUUAAUCGGGGCAGGGUGAGUCGACCCCUAAGGCGAGGCCGAAAGGCGUAGUCGAUGGGAAACAGGUUAAUAUUCCUGUACUUGGUGUUACUGCGAAGGGGGGACGGAGAAGGCUAUGUUAGCCGGGCGACGGUUGUCCCGGUUUAAGCAUGUAGGCUGAUUGUCCAGGCAAAUCCGGAUAAUCAAGGCUGAGGUGUGAUGACGAGGCACUACGGUGCUGAAGUAACAAAUGCCCUGCUUCCAGGAAAAGCCUCUAAGCAUCAGGUAACAUCAAAUCGUACCCCAAACCGACACAGGUGGUCAGGUAGAGAAUACCAAGGCGCUUGAGAGAACUCGGGUGAAGGAACUAGGCAAAAUGGUGCCGUAACUUCGGGAGAAGGCACGCUGGUGUGUAGGUGAAGUCCCUGCGGAUGGAGCUGAGACCAGUCGAAGAUACCAGCUGGCUGCAACUGUUUAUUAAAAACACAGCACUGUGCAAACACGAAAGUGGACGUAUACGGUGUGACGCCUGCCCGGUGCCGGAAGGUUAAUUGAUGGGGUUAUCCGUAAGGAGAAGCUCUUGAUCGAAGCCCCGGUAAACGGCGGCCGUAACUAUAACGGUCCUAAGGUAGCGAAAUUCCUUGUCGGGUAAGUUCCGACCUGCACGAAUGGCGUAAUGAUGGCCAGGCUGUCUCCACCCGAGACUCAGUGAAAUUGAACUCGCUGUGAAGAUGCAGUGUACCCGCGGCAAGACGGAAAGACCCCGUGAACCUUUACUAUAGCUUGACACUGAACAUUGAGCCUUGAUGUGUAGGAUAGGUGGGAGGCUUUGAAGCGUGGACGCCAGUCUGCGUGGAGCCAACCUUGAAAUACCACCCUUUAAUGUUUGAUGUUCUAACGUUGGCCCCU